AUUGAACGCUGGCGGCAGGCCUAACACAUGCAAGUCGAACGGUAACAGGAAACAGCUUGCUGUUUCGCUGACGAGUGGCGGACGGGUGAGUAAUGUCUGGGAAACUGCCUGAUGGAGGGGGAUAACUACUGGGAACGGUAGCUAAUACCGAAUAACGUCGCAAGACCAAAGAGGGGGACCUUCGGGCCUCUUGCCAUCGGAUGCGCCCAGAUGGGAUUAGCUAGUAGGUGGGGUAACGGCUCACCUAGGCGACGAUCCCUAGCUGGUCUGAGAGGAUGACCAGCCACACUGGAACUGAGACACGGUCCAGACUCCUACGGGAGGCAGCAGUGGGGAAUAUUGCACAAUGGGCGCAAGCCUGAUGCAGCCAUGCCGCGUGUAUGAAGAAGGCCUUCGGGUUGUAAAGUACUUUCAGCGGGGAGGAAGGGAGUAAAGUUAAUACCUUUGCUCAUUGACGUUACCCGCAGAAGAAGCACCGGCUAACUCCGUGCCAGCCGCCGCCGUAA
rnacentral:rRNA from 1 species